rnacentral:rRNA from 1 species
AUUGAACGCUGGCGGCAGGCUUAACACAUGCAAGUCGAGCGGAGAUGAGGUGCUUGCACCUUAUCUUAGCGGCGGACGGGUGAGUAAUGCUUAGGAAUCUGCCUAUUAGUGGGGGACAACAUUCCGAAAGGAAUGCUAAUACCGCAUACGCCCUACGGGGGAAAGCAGGGGAUCUUCGGACCUUGCGCUAAUAGAUGAGCCUAAGUCGGAUUAGCUAGUUGGUGGGGUAAAGGUCUACCAAGGCGACGAUCUGUAGCGGGUCUGGGAGGAUGGACCGCCACACUGGGACUGAGACACGGCCCAGACUCCUACGGGAGGCAGCAGUGGGGAAUAUUGGACAAUGGGCGGAAGCCUGAUCCAGCCAUGCCGCGUGUGUGAAGAAGGCCUUUUGGUUGUAAAGCACUUUAAGCGAGGAGGAGGCUACCUGGAUUAAUACUCUAGGAUAGUGGACGUUACUCGCAGAAUAAGCACCGGCUAACUCUGUGCCAGCAGCCGCCGUAAGAC